AUUAAAAAUGAUAGACCCGAACAAGCCCGAUCCCAUCUGAUCUCGGAAGCUAAGCAGAGUCGGGCCUGGUUAGUACUUGGAUGGGAGACCACCUAGGAAGACCAGGUGCUGUAGAUG
rnacentral:rRNA from 1 species